GUGCUCGCUUUGGCAGCACAUAUACUAAAAUUGGAAUGAUACAGAGAAGAUGACCAUGGCCCCUGAACAAGGAUGACAUGCAAAUUCGUGAAGUGUUCCGUAUUUUU
rnacentral:snRNA from 1 species